UCCCCGGUAGCUCAACGGUAGAGCAGCGCGCUGUUAACGCGUUGGUUGCAGGUUCGAAUCCUGCCCGGGGAGCCA
rnacentral:tRNA from 1 species